GGGAAGGUGGCUCAGUGGUAGAGUACUUGCCUUGCAUGCAUGAGGCCCUGGGUUCGAUUCCUCCGCACCA
rnacentral:tRNA from 1 species